GGAGGAAAGCAGGGGAUCGCAAGACCUUGCGCUAAAGGAGCGGCUGAUGUCUGAUUAGCUAGUUGGUGAGGUAAAGGCUCACCAAGGCAACGAUCAGUAGUUGGUCUGAGAGGACGGCCAACCACACUGGGACUGAGACACGGCCCAGACUCCUACGGGAGGCAGCAGUGGGGAAUUUUGGACAAUGGGCGAAAGCCUGAUCCAGCCAUGCCGCGUGAGUGAAGAAGGCCUUCGGGUUGUAAAGCUCUUUUAGUCGGAAAGAAAAGAUCAUAAUGAACAAUUAUGAUUCAUGACGGUACCGACAGAAAAAGCACCGGCUAACUACGUGCCAGCAGCCGCGGUAAUACGUAGGGUGCGAGCGUUAAUCGGAAUUACUGGGCGUAAAGGGUGCGCAGGCGGUUUUGCAAGUCAGAUGUGAAAGCCCCGGGCUUAACCUGGGAAUUGCGUUUGAAACUACAAAGCUAG
rnacentral:rRNA from 1 species